CAGUCGUACCGGCGGAUAAUCAGCCUUUCGGGUGCGAUUCUGUGGGCGUGCUUAUAGUUAUUAAAGUCGAUGGUCAAUAGGUUAGAAUGGGUUAAAUUCGUUAAGGAUGUUGACGUAAUGGCUUUAAACGACCCGUCUUGAAACACGGACCAAGGAGUCUAGCAUAUAU
rnacentral:rRNA from 1 species